UACGUAGGGUGCGAGCGUUGUCCGGAAUUAUUGGGCGUAAAGAGCUCGUAGGCGGUGUGUCACGUCGGCCGUGAAAACCUGCAGCUUAACUGUGGGCGUGCGGUCGAUACGGGCAGGCUAGAGUUCGGUAGGGGAGACUGGAAUUCCUGGUGUAGCGGUGAAAUGCGCAGAUAUCAGGAGGAACACCGGUGGCGAAGGCGGGGUCUCUGGGCAGUAACUGACGCUGAGGAGCGAAAGCGUGGGGGAGCGAACAGG
rnacentral:rRNA from 1 species